GACGAACGCUGGCGGCGUGCCUAACACANNCAAGUCGAGCGAAGUACUUAUCAAUAAGCCUUCGGGCAGAUUGAUAAUCUACUUAGCGGCGGAUGGGUGAGUAACGCGUGAGGAACCUGCCUUCCACAAGGGGAUAGCCUCGGGAAACCGGGAUUAAUACCCUAUGACACUUAAAGGUCCCAUGACUUUUAAGUUAAAGCGUUAGCGGUGGAAGAUGGCCUCGCGUCCCAUUAGCUAGUUGGUGAGGUAAGGGCUCACCAAGGCCACGAUGGGUAGCCGGCUUGAGAGAGUGACCGGCCACACUGGAACUGAGACACGGUCCAGACUCCUACGGGAGGCAGCAGUGGGGAAUAUUGCACAAUGGAGGGAACUCUGAUGCAGCGACGCCGCGUGAGCGAUGAAGGCCUUCGGGUCGUAAAGCUCUGUCCUAUGGGACGAUAAUGACGGUACCAUAGGAGGAA
rnacentral:rRNA from 1 species